rnacentral:rRNA from 1 species
GUAUGGUGCAAGCGUUAUCCGGAUUUACUGGGCGUAAAGGGAGCGCAGGCGGCGCGCCAAGUCUGAUGUGAAACCCCGGGGCUCAACCCCGGGCAUGCAUUGGAAACUGGCGGGCUGGAGUGCCGGAGAGGUAAGCGGAAUUCCUAGUGUAGCGGUGAAAUGCGUAGAUAUUAGGAGGAACACCAGUGGCGAAGGCGGCUUACUGGACGGCAACUGACGCUGAGGCUCGAAAGCGUGGGGAGCAAA